GAAGAUAUAGCUCAGUGGUAGAGCACAUGCCUGGCAUGCACAAGGUCCUGGGUUCAAUCCCCAGUACCUCCA
rnacentral:tRNA from 1 species